rnacentral:lncRNA from 1 species
CCUAACAUCCUGGCUCAUUAAUUCGGCUAGACAGUGGUCCGAUCAUCCUAUUAACUGAUGACCCAUAGAAAGUUCAGUUCCUUCGAAAUUGCUAGAAAAUAAAACAUUGUCUUGGAAGAGGCAUGAUGGAUUCUGCGAGAUUAAUGGUUAUACAUAUUAUUAUAUCGAGAGAAGAUAUUGGAAAUAUGUAAGAGACUUGAAUAAUACAUAAAAGAUUAGGACUAUUCUAAUUACCGCCAAUUAGUUUUAAAUUGAAAAUUCCAGAAAACUUAUCACAAUUCCUUAACUCGUUGAAGUUAUAACAUAUAGAAAAUGAAAAAGAAAAUUAUAUCAUAUGCUGAAUACUUGUAGCCACCUACAUGAAUCAAAGAAAGCGACCAAAAGAUCGGCAAACUUAUGAAAGGGUAACUUCUAGACAAAAGGUUAAACCAUAUUUUCAUGUAGUCAUAUAUUUCAAUCAAACCUGG